UGGACUUAGGAACGAAGGAACAUCUAGCAAUGUUGAGAUUGAAAACCUCUAGAAUCAGUUCAAGACCUGGGCCUACCUUCUGGAACAGUGCCAGUGCUAGUAUAGGUGACUCUUGGCAAAGAGAAAUGUCACAGAGAAAUGGUGUUUUGGGUGUUUUCUAAGCAGAUGAUUGACACAGAAAUAUCUUCUCCCUUGCCUGUCCCAGGGUAUUGUGCUGGGAUGUUACUUCGGGGCACUCUGCAUCUGGGCAGUGGGGAUCUUGGCUGCUGGAUUGAGCUCCACCAUGACAGAAACCUAUUCUGGUCAGUUUGUCAUGGAGCUUCCCUUUGCUAUCAAACCUGGCCUCACAUUUACAAGCUUGCAGCCAAUAAUGAAGGACUUUCCCAAUGGAAAUGGAAUAUAGGCUGGAGCAUCGCCAGUGGGAUCUUAGUCCUCAUCUUAUCUUCCAUCAACAUGUACUUUGUAGUGGUUUAUGUCCAGGAACUAGGGAACAUGGUGUUGUAUGUCGUGGCGGCUGUGAUCAGUGUGGCUUAUCUGAGGUUUGUGUUCUACUUGUUUGGAUCUGGAAUGUCCCCCAAAGGAUCACGUGUUGGAGAUUUGGUUCCCAGUGCAGCAGUGUUCUGCAGUGUGGCUUUUGGGAAGUGGUUGAAUCAUGAAGGCUGUAACCUCAUCAAUGAAUUAGUCCACUGACGGAUUCACAGUACCACCUGGGAUUGACAGCUUGGCCUGAACUCUACCUUCUGAACACCGUGGAUACUGACUGGCUUGUGUCGAGAAGACUAACAGCCUAAGAACCACUUUCUCUAAGCUCUAUUGUGCCAAGUGUCUUAAUAUAUCUUUUUUAAUUUGAAGUGCUAACAGCUGGGGACCAAAUCUUCAACAUGUUGCCUUCAGGUGAUAUUCCAGAUCCAUACUAUAACACAUAAUUAUCUGACUGAAGAUCAGAAGAUAUGUCACACUGGACCCACACUCCUGCAUGGAAGUACACUUGGCUGGAACUGAAUGGCAGCUAUCUAUCUUUCUUCAAUGCCAUAUACUCCAGGGUGGCAUACACCCCAGCAUAUCACUCAUCAUUUCCUUAUGACUUCCAUUGGGAGCUGCCACAUAGGAGUGAGCAAGGACCCUUAGCCUUGAGCGAUGAAGGCGUGAGACUGGUUUCCCCUGUGUGCGGAAGCAAGUGGAUCUCACCUCCACUUGGCAGGGGAAUGAAGCUCUGGGAGUGGGUGUCACCCAAUGAGACUGGGUUACACUCCCUUGAAACCCAAUCCCUUGCCUCAUUUGGGUGGAACUUUCUCGAGUAUCUUUCUCAAUAAAAAGGGUCUCUCUCUUUCCAAUGGACCCCUGAGGUCGAGAGCUAUCCCAGAUUUUGAAAAUGUAUUUCUGUGCGCUUACGUGCUUUCUUCACCAUUUUCUCAGUUAUUGAUGUAGUCAUAUUUUGUGAACCCAGCAUAGGUCGCCAGUCUGGCUAGUUGGCAAUAGACUUCCAAGGUGCUGAGUCUGUAACCCUGUAUGACUUUGAA